rnacentral:lncRNA from 1 species
CCUCUACUGCUCUCUCUUUCUCUCUUUCUCUCAGCUACCGUUUGAUUUGGGAUUAAAAAAAAACUAAUUAUUUUAGAAAUAGAGUUAAGUUUAGAGUUAAGAUUGAGUUAAAGUAUUUUUAUGUUUAGUUAGAAAUUGGAGUUAAUUCAGGAUAGUGAAAAAUAAUAUUUGAUUGGAAUAGGUGGAAUAAAAAGGAUAGUGAAUUAUUAUAAAUAGAAAAUAAUAUUUGGUUGGAAUUUUGUGGGGUUAGGUGGAGUUAGCUAACCCGGAAUAACCCAUUUGAGGUGGGAUUAGCUAAUCCCACCCAUUGUUAGAAGUAUUUGGAGAUAAAAUGGGGGUUAAAGAGUUAUUCCACCUCUUUAACCCCCAACCAAACGGAGGCUAAAACAUCGGACAACUCUUUUUUUCUUUUUCCUUUUUUUUUUUUUUUU